CACAGCAUUAAUGUGCACUUUUCUCUUCUGCAUUUUCUUUCUGAUCUUCCAGCAUGCAGAACAGGUUUUCUGCUAAUUCAUUUAACGCUGCUCUCGCAAACACUCUCUGAACACCAGAUAGAAGAGGAAAAUAUGUAAGCAUAAAAGUGUGGAAGCAUUUCCUACACUAUGAUUUGGAAGGAGAAAGCAGGCAGUUCCAGAAUUGCAGAAGGGUUACUUCUGUUUGUUGCAAUGUUAUGGUGGCUGAGCAAAGGGCUCCUGGGAUCCUUAUGCUGCUCAGAGGUGGCCACCCAGAGAGACUGUGACCCAUUUAUGAGAGACUGCAUCAUCUUUAAUUCUUCAAGUAACACUCUUAUAUGCUGCUGGUAUAGUGGGAAGGAUUAAUCAGCUGCUUGAAGUGCAUCUAUCUUUCUGUGCAAUGGCUACAGAGGUAGUCUACAUGACUGAUAUACAUUAGACACUUCAGUUUUAGAUGGCUAAAAGAGGAGGUAAGAUGGAUCUGAGUCUAAGUGCUCUGCUCCUCUGUAUCUUAUACUUUUCCUAAACAUUACUCUCUCUCUGUCUUCAUCUAAAGAUCAUGUAGCAGCACUGUGUCCUGUCAAAGCAUUUCCUUCUGCUCUUCCUGAGAACAGUAGUAUUUUUUCAUCACUUUCCAUAAGUGUAGAAUCAAGUCUAAUGCCUCUUGUUGUCUGGUACAAAUGCCUGUAUUAAAUAGGAAAGACAGAUGCUGCUAUCUCAGAGGCAGAGCAUACUAAAGGACUCUUAGCCUGUGGAUCUCCCUGUCCUUCUCUUGGCUGCCAGCUUCCCUCCCCACCUGGCUGUGCAGGAGAUCAGACAGGGUAAUUAUGGAGGUUUGUUUCUUUCCUCUUCUUAACCUAACCAAGAAUUGAUCACUCUUACAAACUAAGUUACCACCCAGGGAAUGGAAAUAGAGCUGCAUUUUUCUCCUGAUUGGGUACACCUCAUUAGGUCUGUGACAGCCUUUGGCUGGACUCCCUACCAGGGGUAAUUGGUAGUGACAACAGUAUCAUUUUGCCACCUACCAGUCAGCAUUCAGAGGAACAGCGAGAUCAGAGACAACAAGCAGGAGGAGAUGAAUCAAAAGAUUACAAAGAUAUCGCAAGAUUAGUAAUUAAGGAAGACCUCCAGAAAGGACUGUCUUAAUUUUUUUAAGAGGUGUUGAGAGCAGUCAUCUGUCUUAAGCAGAAGAUGACUGAGUGUAUCACUAUGAAGUGCCAGUUAAUGGAAUUAGUAGCAGACCGUGGAAACUUUCAAUCUUGGCCACAAAUAGAGCUCAAUAGAAAAGACAAGGCAAUCUUCCCUUUAUUUUCCUCUUAUCUAUUAGCCAGAAGUUCUUGCAUGUGUAGUGUUUCUUGUUUCUGUUUUUGUUUUUUUUUCUUUUUUUCCCCUGUAAAUAAACUCCAGUAAGUUGCUUACUGGUGAUUUCAGCUAGGCCUGUGAGACCUUGAUGGAUAGGGUUUAUUGUGAAACUGAAGAAGAGGACUAUAUUUAGCUUAUAAUGACAGAGACACUGUGAAACUGCUGUUAAAAUUGUCAGAGAUGAUAUAGCAAGGCUAGACAGACAUUGCUCUGAUCCAGUCUGAAGUCUGCUUUAUUCUGUAAGCAAUAUCAUUUGACCUUAUCUGUCCUACUUACAGAUGAUCUUGACGCCAUGUAUGCAAUUAAAAUAUCAUGGGCAAAUCAUUCAUUCCUUUUUAAUAGAAAUAUGAGAAAUAUUUUCAAAAACUUCCUUGCUUGAUUUACAAGUAGAGAUCAUGAACAUGAAUAGAAUCAGAAAUGCUUUGAUGAUUGUUUUCAGGAUUACUCAGGAUUAUUCUAAGUAUUUGACUGGAAUAUGGCAACAGAAUUGUCUGUGUGUUCUGUUAUGUGCAGGAAAACCUGUGUAGUACUACCACUGGAGCCCAUACAGAAAUAAAAUAAGACAGUGUCUGCCACAAGAAUAAUAAAGGUAUUUGCCUGCA